rnacentral:tRNA from 1 species
CCCUGUGUAGCUCAAUGGCUAGAGCGUUCGGCUGUUCUCCGGUUGAGGUUGCUGGUUCAAAUCCGGCCACAGGGA